rnacentral:rRNA from 1 species
UACGAAGGGGGCGAGCGUUGUUCGGAUUUACUGGGCGUAAAGGGCGCGCAGGCGGCGCAUUUUGUCAGGCGUGAAAGCCCCGGGCUUAACCUGGGACUGCGUUUGAUACGGAUGGGCUAGAGUUCGGGAGAGGAGAGUGGAAUUCCCAGUGUAGAGGUGAAAUUCGUAGAUAUUGGGAAGAACACCCGUGGCGAAGGCGGCUCUCUGGGACGGUACUGACGCUGAGACGCGAAAGCGUGGGGAGCGAACAGG